rnacentral:rRNA from 1 species
UACGUAGGGGGCAAGCGUUGUCCGGAUUUAUUGGGCGUAAAGAGCGUGUAGGCGGCCAUACAGGUCAGCUGUGAAAACUCGAGGCUCAACCUCGAGACGUCGGUUGAAACCGUAUGGCUAGAGUCCGGAAGAGGAGAGUGGAAUUCCCGGUGUAGCGGUGAAAUGCGCAGAUAUCGGGAAGAACACCUAUGGCGAAGGCAGCUCUCUGGGACGGUACUGACGCUGAGACGCGAAAGCGUGGGGA